rnacentral:lncRNA from 1 species
GAUGACGUCAAAAAGAGGCUCCCUGAGGAGGAAGGGACACUGCAUUCCAAGUGCUAGAAUAGGAGAAAAUGCCAGAUGAAGGGUGAGACGACACGUAAAGAGAAGGCAUCACUGGCCUUGCUGCUUCCAGUGGGCGGGACAGGGUGAGAGCGGUGGACAUGGAGGCAGCCCGGCUGACUUUCACCUUCCAUGAUCUUGGGAAACAGGAAAAUUAAACAAAUACCUUCUCAUAACUUCUC